rnacentral:rRNA from 1 species
CCUACGGGGCGCAGCAGUGAGGAAUAUUGGUCAAUGGCCGCAGGGCUGAACCAGCCAAGUCGCGUGAGGGAUGACGGUCCUAUGGAUUGUAAACCUCUUUUGUCAGGGAGCAAAGGGCGCCACGUGUGGCGCUUUGCGAGUACCUGAAGAAAAAGCAUCGGCUAACUCCGUGCCAGCAGCCGCGGUAAUACGGAGGAUGCGAGCGUUAUCCGGAUUUAUUGGGUUUAAAGGGAGCGUAGGCCGCAUGUCAAGCGUGCUGUGAAAUGUCCGGGCUCAACCCGGGCCUUGCAGC